rnacentral:rRNA from 1 species
UGAAGCUGGAAUUGCUGUAAUGGCAGGUCAGCAUACUGCCGUGAAUACGUUCCCGGGCCUUGUACACACCGCCCGUCACACCAUGAGAGUUGGGAAUACCCGAAGCCUGUGAGCUAACUUAUAGAGGCAGCAGUCGAAGGUAGAAUCAAUGAUUGGGGUGAAGUCGUAACAAGGUAAC